UCCCUCGCCUUCUCACCCUCAG
rnacentral:miRNA from 1 species